UGGUUCCCGCAUCGAUGAAGAACGCAGCGAAACGCGAUAGUUAAUGUGAAUUGCAGAAUUCAGUGAAUCAUCGAGUCUUUGAACGCACAUUGCGCCUUUUGGUAUUCCGAGAGGCACGCCUGUCUGAGCGUCAGUAAAACCCUUCGGUUUGGAUUUUAUUAUCUCUACCGGUGCUGGCGGUGGGAAACACCCGUAAGGGUGUCCCCCGCUUAAACCUGAUGGCGGGAGGCAGAAGCCGCGACAAUAGUAGAAAUAUAUUUGUCUAGUGGUCUUCUGUGUACUGUCCUUAGAACCCCCUUUAAUUUUUGACCUCAGAUCAGACGAGGAUACCCGCUGA
rnacentral:misc_RNA from 1 species